rnacentral:rRNA from 1 species
UACAGAGGUCCCAAGCGUUGUCCGGAUUUAUUGGGCGUAAAGAGCGUGUAGGCGGCCAUGUAGGUCCGUUGUGAAAACUCGAGGCUCAACCUCGAGACGCCGAUGGAAACCAUGUGGCUAGAGUCCGGAAGAGGAGUGUGGAAUUCCUGGUGUAGCGGUGAAAUGCGCAGAUAUCAGGAGGAACACCAAUGGCGAAGGCAGCACUCUGGGACGUGACUGACGCGAGACGCGAAAGCGUGGGGAGCAAACAGG